rnacentral:rRNA from 1 species
GAUGAACGCUGACAGCAUGCUUAACACAUGCAAGUCGACUUGAACUUCGGUUCGGGUGGCGGACGGGUGAGUAACGCGUAAAGAACUUGCCUCACAGCUACGGACAACAUAUGUAAACGAAUGCUAAUACCUGAUAUUAUGAUUAUAUGGCAUCGUAUAAUUAUGAAAGCUACGUGCGCUGGGGGAGAGCUUUGCGUCCCAUUAGCUAGUUGGAGAGGUAACAGCUCACAAUGGCGAUGAUGGGUAGCCGGCCUGAGGGGGGGAUCGGCAACAAGGGGACGGAGACACGGCCCGUACUCCUACGGGAGGAAAAGGGGGGGAUAAUGGGACAAUGGACCGAGAGUGUGAUAGAGACGUUGUGUGUGCGAGAUGAAGUUUUUCGGAGUGUAAAGCGCUUUCAGUUGGGAAGAAGAAAAUGACGGUACCAACAGAAGAAGUGACGGCUAAAUACGUG